rnacentral:rRNA from 1 species
AUUAAACUGAAGAGUUUGAUCCUGGCUCAGAUUGAACGCUGGUGGCAUGCUUAACACAUGCAAGUCGAACGGUAACAGGUCUUAGGAUGCUGACGAGUGGCGGACGGGUGAGUAACGCGUAGGAAUCUGCCCAUUUGAGGGGGAUACCAGUUGGAAACGACUGUUAAUACCGCAUAAUAUCUGUGGAUUAAAGGUGGCUUUCGGGCUGUCGCAGAUGGAUGAGCCUGCGUUGGAUUAGCUAGUUGGUGGGGUAAGGGCCCACCAAGGCUACGAUCCAUAGCUGAUUUGAGAGGAUGAUCAGCCACAUUGGGACUGAGACACGGCCCAAACUCCUACGGGAGGCAGCAGUGGGGAAUAUUGGACAAUGGGGGCAACCCUGAUCCAGCAAUGCCAUGUGUGUGAAGAAGGCCCUAGGGUUGUAAAGCACUUUAGUUGGGGAGGAAAGCCUCAAGGUUAAUAGCCUUGGGGGAGGACGUUACCCAAAGAAUAAGCACCGGCUAACUCCGUGCCAGCAGCCGCGGUAAUACGGGGGGUGCAAGCGUUAAUCGGAAUUACUGGGCGUAAAGGGUCUGUAGGUGGUUUGUUAAGUCAGAUGUGAAAGCCCAGGGCUCAACCUUGGAACUGCAUUUGAUACUGGCAAACUAGAGUACGGUAGAGGAAUGGGGAAUUUCUGGUGUAGCGGUGAAAUGCGUAGAGAUCAGAAGGAACACCAAUGGCGAAGGCAACAUUCUGGACCGAUACUGACACUGAGGGACGAAAGCGUGGGGAUCAAACAGGAUUAGAUACCCUGGUAGUCCACGCUGUAAACGAUGAGUACUAGCUGUUGGAGUCGGUGUAAAGGCUCUAGUGGCGCAGCUAACGCGAUAAGUACUCCGCCUGGGGACUACGGCCG